rnacentral:lncRNA from 1 species
CUCCAACCAACAGUGAAGUGAGCAGUUGCUCACAGCAAAGAAGGAAGCACAUAAUCCACACAGGAUAGCAUCAUUGUAGACUAGACACAAACUCCCUCUUUCCAAAAAUAGCAGUGGGGAAAAUGACCUUGAAAGGAAGAAGCUGACAACUGAGUUGCAGAGUUCAAUUCAAGAAAAGAAUCUCAGAGAACUCGGUGGGUUCUUGUGUUUACAGUUUAUUUAAUGGAAAAGAGAUUGGCCUAUUCUGGUUUUGAUGCCUGCUUUGCCCCGGGAUGAGAAGGCUUCCAACAUGUCACUUAGAAGAAAAGACAAGGGUUUUCCCUGGUUUCUGACACCAGAGGGGCUUAGGCUUCUUCAUCCACAGCAGAGUUUUCUGGGAUUUCUUUUUUUAGAGAAAGAGGACUUGUUUGAGGGGUUACUGAGUUGACAGAGGAAUGGUUUCCAUAGAUGGGAACAAAGCGGUUGUCAAAAGCUAGAGGAGUUUGUUCCGGGAGCUGGAUGACGGGGCUGGAGGACAGCAUCAUCCUGUUUUCAGCUUCCAUCUGAAGACCCAAGUUACCCAUCCUGGGGUGAGUGCCCACCUCAGAAGUCAAAUUCUCCCCUCUUAAAGGCAUAGUCUGCCCUUCAGGGGUGACUGAUAUGUUUCUGGAGGGGACAGUCACCUUUUCACGGGCCACAGCCUUCCUUCUAGGGGCCACUGUAUUCUGUCUAAGGGUCUCAGUCUGAAAAUGGACAGGGGUCAUAGUCGUUCCUCCAGGGCUCACAGACUGAUGACUCACAGGGGUCAGGGUCUUCUGUCCAGUGGUCACAGAUUGAUGACCCACAGGGGUCAGGGCCUUCUCUCCAGGGGUCAUGGACUGAUGACCCACAGAAGUCAUGGUCAUUGCCCCAGUGAUCUCAGUCUUCUCUCCUAGAGCUACAGUGUGCUUUCCAAGGGAUACAGUUUCCUUUGUAGGGGUCACAGUUGUACCUCUAGGGGUUAUAGUCAUAUUUUCACACUUUCCGUGGAUCUCAGUGACCCCAGCCUCUCCUCCUGGGGGCAAAAUCUUACUAUCAGUGGUCCAUGCCGUGGUCACAGCCAGCCUUUCAGGGUCAGUGCUUGAAGAAUUCACAGCAGAUGACAGCCAAAAUUGUGGUAAAGAAGUUGAACUGAAC